UGAGUGGCACAAGCAAAUAAUUAAAACUUUUAACAACGGAUCUCUUGGUUCUGGCAUCGAUGAAGAACGCAGCGAAAUGCGAUAAGUAAUGUGAAUUGCAGAAUUCAGUGAAUCAUCGAAUCUUUGAACGCACAUUGCGCUCGCCAGCAUUCUGGCGAGCAUGCCUGUUCGAGCGUCAUUU
rnacentral:rRNA from 1 species